AGAUAAAAGUAUGGGAGGUCUUACCUGCCCAGUGACUUAGGUUAAACGGCCGCGGUAUUUUGACCGUGCUAAGGUAGCGCAAUCACUUGUCUUUUAAAUGAAGACCCGUAUGAAUGGUGGAACGAGGACUUAACUGUCUCACUUUUCAAGUCAGUGAAAUUGAUCUGCCCGUGCAGAAGCGGGCAUAAAUAUACAAGACGAGAAGACCCUUUGGAGCUUAAGAUAUAAGUCAACUGUGUUAUAAACUUCUAAUCAAAAAAGCUAAACAAAACAACAACUGACCAAAAUCUUCGGUUGGGGCGACCGCGGGGAAAAACAAAACCCCCACGUGGACCGGGAAUUUUCCUAAAACCAAGAGGGACACCUCUAAGCCACAGAACAUCUGACCUAAAGAUCCGGCGAUUAGCCGAUUAACGAACCAAGUUACCCUAGGGAUAACAGCGCAAUCCCCUCCAAGAGUCCAUAUCGACAAGGGGGUUUACGACCUCGAUGUUGGAUCAGGACAUCCUAAUGGUGCAGCCGCUAUUAAGGGUUCGUUUGUUCAACGAUUAAAGU
rnacentral:rRNA from 1 species